rnacentral:rRNA from 1 species
UACGUAGGGGGCAAGCGUUGUCCGGAUUUAUUGGGCGUAAAGAGCGUGUAGGCGGCCAGGUAGGUCAGCUGUGAAAACUCGAGGCUCAACCUCGAGACGUCGGUUGAAACCAUCUGGCUAGAGUCCGGAAGAGGAGAGUGGAAUUCCUGGUGUAGCGGUGAAAUGCGCAGAUAUCAGGAGGAACACCGGUGGCGAAGGCGGGUCUCUGGGCCAUUACUGACGCUGAGGAGCGAAAGCGUGGGGAGCGAACAGG